rnacentral:rRNA from 1 species
CCUAUAUGAAGUCGGAAUUGCUAGUAAUCGCAGAUCAGCAUGCUGCGGUGAAUACGUUCCCGGGCCUUGUACACACCGCCCGUCACACCAUGGAAGUUGGGGGCGCCCGAAGUUGCCUAAGAAAUAAGGUACCUAAGGCGAAACCAAUGACUGGGGUGAAGUCGUAACAAGGUACC